rnacentral:sRNA from 1 species
GAUGUAGAAGAGGCAGCCUGCCUUGGCGGUCUCGCCCUUGGUCCGAAGCGCCUCAUAGAUCGUCCGGGUUUCCGAGUGGCUUGGCGCGUCCGACGGAUAGCGCUCGGGGCGGACGGAGAACUGCUGGAUCGCAGAGGUCUCAAAGCCCAUGCCGACCAAGGCCUUGGCGACGUCUCGGCGAGCGUUGUCGAAGGCUUCGGUAGGACUGCCAGACUCCGCCUGAAAGUCGCCUGCGAUGACGACCGCGCUCCAGUUCGAGAACGGCCCGCCGGCGAAGG